rnacentral:rRNA from 1 species
CUCGGCAACGGAUAUCUCGGCUCUCGCAUCGAUGAAGAACCUAGCGAAAUGCGAUACUUGGUGUGAAUUGCAGAAUCCCGUGAACCAUCGAGUCUUUGAACGCAAGUUGCGCCCGAAGCCAUUAGGCUGAGGGCACGUCUGCCUGGGCAUCACGC